GAUGAAGAACGUAGCGAAAUGCGAUAAGUAAUGUGAAUUGCAGAAUUCAGUGAAUCAUCGAAUCUUUGAACGCACAUUGCGCCCGCCAGCAUUCUGGCGGGCAUGCCUGUUCGAGCGUCAUUUCAACCCUCAAGCUCUGCUUGGUGUUGGGGCCCUACGGUUGACGUAGGCCCUUAAAGGUAGUGGCGGACCCUCUCGGAGCCUCCUUUGCGUAGUAACUAACGUCUCGCAUUGGGAUUCGGAGGGACUCUUGCCGUAAAACCCCCAAAUAUUCUAAUGGUUGACCUCGGAUCAGGUACGAAUACCCGCUGAACUUAAGCAUAUCAAUAAGCGGAGGA
rnacentral:misc_RNA from 1 species